rnacentral:rRNA from 1 species
GAGUGAAGAGGGACAAGCUCAAAUUUUAAAUCUGUCAGGUUUUACCUAACCGAGUUGUAAUUUGAAGAAGCGUUUUCUGCGUUUUUGGUCAACCCAAGUCCUAUUGAAUGAGGCAUCAUGGAGGGUGAUAAUCCCGUCCGGUUGAUCAUUGCGUUUUACGAUACGCUUUCUAAGAGUCAAGUUGUUUGGGAUUGCAGCUUAAAAUGGGAGGUAAAUUUCUCCUAAGGCUAAAUAACGGCGAGAGACCGAUAGCGAACAAGUACCGUGAGGGAAAGAUGAAAAGAACUUUGAAAAGAGAGUUAAACAGUACGUGAAAUUGUUGAAAGGGAAACGAUUGAAGCCAGUCGUACCUUCGGGUAAUCAGCCUUUCGGGUGCGAUUCUGUGGAGUGUGAGGAGCUUAACACCUUCAUGCUUUGCAUAUUUGUGCUCUUGGGUGUACUUGCCCGUGUGGUUGGUUAACAUCAAUUUUUGGUUAUCAUAAAAUGACUGGAGGAAUGUGGCUUCGAUCACGUAUUGAAGUGUUAUAGCCUUCGGUAAAUGUGAUGAUCGAGAUUGAGGAUUGCAGCGGAUACCCUUCGGGGCUACCUGUCUGGUCUCUGAUCGUUGCUCUGGUGCUGAAAGCUUGCUUACAGUUAUCAAAGUCGAUGGUCAAUAGGUUAGAACGGGUUAAAUUCGUUA